rnacentral:rRNA from 1 species
GAUGAACGCUGGCGGCGUGCUUAAUACAUGCAAGUCGAGCGAACAGACGAGGAGCUUGCUCCUCUGACGUUAGCGGCGGGCGGGUGAGUAACACGUGGAUACCCUACCUAUAAGACUGGGAUAACUUCGGGAAACCGGAGCUAAUACCGGAUAAUAUAUUGCACCGCAUGGUGCAAUAGUGAAAGACGGUUUUGCUGUCACUUAUAGAUGGAUCCGCGCCGCAUUAGCUAGUUGGUAAGGUCACGGCCUACCAAGGCAACGAGGCGUGGCCGACGGGACGGGGGGAUCGCCCACACUGGAGCGGGGACGCGGACCAGACGCCUACGGGAGGGAGCAGUAGGGAACCGGACGCAAUGGGCGGGAGCCUGACGGAACAGCGCCGCGUCAGUGAUGAAGGUCUUCGGAUCGUAAAACUCUGUUAUUAGGUAAAAACAGAUGUGUAAGUAACUAUGCACGUCUUGACGGUACCUGAUCAGAAAGCAACGGCUAACUACGUG